rnacentral:rRNA from 1 species
AUUGAACGCUGGCGGCAGGCCUAACACAUGCAAGUCGAACGAGUGGCGGACGGGUGAGUAAUGUCUGGGAAACUGCCCGAUGGAGGGGGAUACCUCCUGGAAACGGUAGCUAAUACCGCAUACCAUCGGAUGUGCCCAGGUGGGAUUAGCUAGUAGGUUGGGUAACGGCUCACCUAGGCGACGAUCCCUAGCUGGUCUGAGAGGAUGACGAGCCACACUGGAACUGAGACACGGUCCAGACUCCUACGGGAGGCAGCAGUGGGGAAUAUUGCGCAAUGGGCGCAAGCCUGAUGCAGCCAUGCCGCGUGAGUGAAGAAGGCCUUCGGGUUGUAAAGCACUUUCAGCGGGGAAGCGUUACCCGCAGAGAAAGCACCGGCUAACUCCGUGCCAGCAGCCGCGGUAAUAC